AACCACCAGCCCAGACCACUGGCCCUGGCGGCUCCGUCCCGUCUGCGGGCCCCAGGACCGUGCGCUUCCCCGUGUCGCCCUCACCUGCGUCCCCGCCACCUUUCCACAGCACUCAGUCCUCUCCCACCUCCCCGCCUCGCUCACUCAGAGCACGGAGCCUCAUCCAGAACCGCCCCAAACCCAAACCCUUUAAACAUUGAUUUCGGCAUCCCUCAAUUCUCUGCUUUCUUCCUGGCAGAAGGGGAAUCAUUCUCCUUACUUGGGAGUUUGUAUUUUGAGGCAGAUAAUACAAAUGACAAAGAUAGAAAUCCCACAGAGCCUAUAGCAGUUUUGACUUUAAACAUGAGGCGAGUUAACAAGGAAAGCAGCGAUAAAUUCAGCCCAGGGCACGACCCAGCACUAAAUCCUCCCUUACAGGGUCCAGAUUUCUGGCCAACUUGUCAAUUUGAUGCCCCCUUUCUCCACUGGCCUCGCAAUUCCCUUUUAGGUUGUGUUGUUUUUGUUGGUUCACUUUUGUUUUACCGCCAAGUUAUCUCUGCCACCACUCCCCACCGCCCCCAUUUUCUGACUCUGUUUUCCAAGCUUCUUACACAUGUCCAAAAUAACACACCCCUCGCUUCUCCUGCUAAAUCCCUCAAAUUGCUGCCCUAGUAGAAAUUUUGAAACAAGUUCGUGGCAGGACAUUUUGUUCAUUCGCCUACAUGAGCUGGUGAAAGAUGGAAGGACAUGGUAUUUGCUGGAAAUGAAAACAUGGGGAAAGCUGUUGGAACCGACACCACUGUGUUCUUUUUGUCCCUUGCACAAGAAUAAAUGCUUCAUGGAAUAAAUGGUCCACAAGGUAGAAGUAAGUAGAUGAUUCUGACUGCCUACCUGACAAUGGUGGGGAUUAUACAAGAAUUUCAGGUACUUUGGUUAAGUCAGUACCCUAAGAAAGACUGUAAGUGGUAGAUGCAGCUACAAGAUGAAGGAACCUGAACGAUCCAUGAACAGAAGGAGUUUGAGGUAAUUACAUUUAAAACAUUAAAUAAUGUUUCUAUUUUGCAUGUCGAUUAUUGCCAAUUCAAUGUAAUUUACCUCAUAAUGAUAUUUGCACUUUCAGUAAAACCCAAGUUGUAAGUAGAGUUGGAAAUAUACUAAAAGUAAUAGAAUGAGAUUAUCUAUGUUGAAAAGUAGAAUUUCUGUUCCAGAUUUUUAAAAAUCAGCUUUAUAUACACAGAGGAUUCAUGGGAUGAUUGUGAGAACUCUAUUUUACUAGGAAUGGUAAAAAUAUAUUAGACACAUAUUAAAAUGUUUCUGCAUUAUAAUCUCUUAACCUAAAAUAAAAUGUUUCAGUAUAUAAACCACUAUCUAUUCAAAA